rnacentral:rRNA from 1 species
CCUUGAAGGGUCGUUCGAGACCAGGACGUUGAUAGGUCAGGUGUGUAAGCGCAGUAAUGCGUUCAGCUAACUGAUACUAAUUGCCCGUAAGGCUUGAUCCUAUAACC